CUUAAGUUUUUGCCGUUUACCCAGCUGAGUGUUUCUUUGAAGAGAGAAUCUUAAAAGACUGAGA
rnacentral:snoRNA from 7 species